UACGAAGGGGGCUAGCGUUGCUCGGAAUCACUGGGCGUAAAGCGCACGUAGGCGGACUCUUAAGUCGGUGGUGAAAUCCUGGAGCUCAACUCCAGAACUGCCUUCGAUACUGGGAGUCUCGAGUUCGGGAGAGGUGAGUGGAACUGCGAGUGUAGAGGUGAAAUUCGUAGAUAUUCGCAAGAACACCAGUGGCGAAGGCGGCUUACUGGUCCGGUUCUGACGCUGAGGCGCGAAAAGCGUGGGGGAGCAAACAGG
rnacentral:rRNA from 1 species